UAUGAGUCCCAGGCUUGCCUGCCGGGGGC
rnacentral:sRNA from 1 species